rnacentral:lncRNA from 1 species
AGAGGGCUUUCCACUAGGAGAAGGGUCUUGGCUUCUUUCUGUCUGAGAGAAACCAGUGAGUUCACCAGAUGGUGAGACAUGGAGAGUGGCAGAGCAACCCUUCUGUGUUCUCCCUUUUUUGGGGAUCCACCUGCCUGCAGAGGGCACGUGUCAGGUUGUAUGCAGAUGAGCAUAAAAUAGGAAGAAUUAAACACCCCCUUUAAGCACUGAGCACACCAAGUUUAAUGAAUGACUUGAAGAAAAGCUCUUUUGGAUUUCACACCAGGUAGGAACUGAGAAGCGCUAAGGAUUAGGCCCAGCAAGGAAGAAUAAAGGCAGGAGAAGGGACCUUCAGUCAUGGCUGUUAUCAGCCUUGGGCCUGCUUCACGAGGAAAUUUGAGACUAGCUCAAGCUUUGGUAAACCCGCGUAUGAAUUGUCUGGAGAUGCCUGGGGAAAGAGAAUGAAAGUGAG